ensembl:lncRNA
GUGUGUGUGUGUGUGUGUGUGUGUGUGUGUGUGUGUGUGUGUGUGUGUGUGUGUGUGUGUGUGUGUGUGUGUGUGUGUGUGUGUGUGUGUGUGUGUGUGGGAAAGAGAGAGCUCGUCUGGGGGAUUAUAGGCAGUCUGAGAAAAGUACCUGCUGAGAGGGUUGAGGAGGAGGACAUGAACGGGUGAAACAGAGAGAGAUUAUUUAAACUGGCUUUGUUCUGUAAGACUUGUCUGCACAGGAGCUUAAAACACCAACGGCACAGGGGCCUGGAAUAUAUGUGAGUGAGAAGACAUUCAGUUUGUGUCUGUUCCUAUGAGCAACCAUCUGCAGCAUGGCAGAGAAGAAGCCCAAGAAGCGGAGUGCUGCUGCUGCAGCCCAGGCGGUGACUCAGCCAGAACCUGAGGUGACGGCGCUCCUGGAGGGUCUGAUGAGCCGUAUGGAGGUGGUUCUGAUGGAGAUGGAGUCCCUGCGUGACCACAGCACCCACCACAGUGCCGAACUGACUCGUCUCUUGACCGAGCUGAGUGCUGAGAACCGGGCCCUCAAGGAGCAGUUCCAGGCCCUGGCGCAUGAGAUGCAGGACACCAUGGACAUCAUGGAAGAGCUCAUAGACACCAAGUAUGCCCAGGAUGCCAAGGAAAAACAAGCUCGGAAACUGAGCCGCCAUUUUUGAGCCCCAAGCAUCAGAUCUGAGCUGCAAACACCAGCGAUGAGCAGCUCCAAGCACCAGCGAUGAGCAGCUUCAAAUACCACUAUGAAUGAUAACAGUAAACUGUCAAUCAUAAGCAUCUGCAAGCAAGCCAGUGUCACAGCAGCAGUUCAUUUUCUAACAGUCUUCACAGAAAGAGCCAACUCAUGACACCAUAUCCAAAGACUUUUCUUUGACCUUUCUCUGACUUUGAUCAUUGUGAGAUAAGAAGUACCAUACAAAAAUGAUGUCUCACUGGGCCAACUACGGACAAAUGAAGAGUGAACUGAGAUAUCUUCAAGCGCAUGAGGAUGAUAAUGUAUAUUAAUGAAAGGAAAAUCAGAUUGAAGCUGGUUUACUUUAGCCAUAUAUAUAUAUACAUAUAUAUAUAUAUAUAACUUGCUGGUUGUACACACAGAGAGUUAUUACAGAGACACAGUCCCUGUGAAAACCAGUCUGUGGAAUUGUCCCAAGCUCUCUAAUCUAGAGCUUCAGCUUUAACACAGUCUGACCAUAUCAACCAAUCAGAGAACUUCCUCAAAGAUGAGCAUUCCUGCCCACCCAAUAUUGUGGGCCAGCACCACACAUUGAAAAUAGAUUUAAUUACCAAGUCUUGCUGACAUUGCUCAGAGAAUCUUUAAUUACACAAAUGGAUGACUAUUAUGAACUGCUGUGAUGGACAUGAGAAUACAUGAUGCAGAAAGACAGAAUUGAUGACCUUAAAGUUUAAGACCAAAACAAACAAAAGGAGCGUGUAUGAUUACACAAGAGUAGAUAAAGUAGAUGAGAGAAUGGGGAGUAAUAUAAUGCCUUUGUUUGGGAAGGAUGUUAUUUUCAAUAACAAUUAAACACUAUUAUUGCACUAACACUGGCCCUUUUUGAGCCCGUAGAGGUCAUCAAGGGCAAGGGUGUGUGAAUAUCCUUAGAUAAGGACAUUUUGUGCAUCUGUGAAUGUUUUUAUUAUUUAUUUAAUCCAUUAAACUAUUGUUUUAACGAGUCUGUUCAGCACUAUAACGUGUUAUAAUGUGUUAUGUAAAUAAACCUUACUCUACUGGACCCACUCGUGUUCUAAUGUCACCCUUUAAUGACCUAAAGCAUG